rnacentral:rRNA from 1 species
GACGAACGCUGGCGGCGUGCUUAACACAUGCAAGUCGAACGGAAAGGCCCUGCUUUUGUGGGGUGCUCGAGUGGCGAACGGGUGAGUAACACGUGAGUAACCUGCCCUUGACUUUGGGAUAACUUCAGGAAACUGGGGCUAAUACCGUAUAGGAGCUCCUGCUGCAUGGUGGGGGUUGGAAAGUUUCGGCGGUUGGGGAUGGACUCGCGGCUUAUCAGCUUGUUGGUGGGGUAGUGGCUUACCAAGGCUUUGACGGGUAGCCGGCCUGAGAGGGUGACCGGCGACAUUGGGACUGAGAGACGGACCAGACUGCUACGGGAGGCAGCAGUGGGGAAUAUUGCACAAUGGGCGGAAGCCUGAGGCAGAAACGCCGCGUGCGGGAUGACGGCCUUCGGGUUGUAAACCGCUUUCGCCUGAGACGAAGCGUGAGUGACGGUAAUGGGUAAAGAAGCACCGGCUAACUACGUG